rnacentral:rRNA from 1 species
UACGGGGGGGGCAAGCGUUGUUCGGAAUUACUGGGCGUAAAGGGCUCGUAGGCGGCCAACUAAGUCAGACGUGAAAUCCCCAGGCUCAACCUGGGAACUGCGUCUGAUACUGGAUGGCUUGAAUCCGGGAGAGGGAUGUGGAAUUCCAGGUGUAGCGGUGAAAUGCGUAGAUAUCUGGAGGAACACCGGUGGCGAAGGCGGCAUCCUGGACCGGUAUUGACGCUGAGGCGCGAAAGCCAGGGGAGCAAACGGG